ACGAAGACAAAAAGAUCUCAAGAAAUCUUGUGCCCACAUUAGGUUCCAUAUGCAAGAUACCAAGCAACCCAACAUGCACCAUCCUAUCGAUGAUAUAACAACAACAAGAUGGAACACAAAGUCUGCUUCGAUGUUCGUUAGCGCUGCAAGCAACACAUUACGAAAAUGAACUUUGUUCAAGCCAACCAAUUCCGUCAAUGAGGUAUGCAACACAGUAACCCACUUAAUGCCCAUGGCAAAAAGCCAUGAAGCAUAAUUGA
rnacentral:misc_RNA from 1 species